GUGGGGACCCGCAGGCGGCCGGUGCUACUGUGUUUGGAGCGCAAGUAGGGCGUGCCAGGAAAUAAUUUCCACUCAUUUUCUCUAGUGGUCACAUUAUAAUCUGAGUAAUAUGUCAUCGACCUACAUUGUAUUGGAAGAAGAAACCAGAAUGGUUGGGGCUGCUCAAAUAAUGAUUGGUAUAAUACACUGUUCUCUGGGAUACAUCUGGUUAUAUUUAUAUGUUCAACAAAUUUCUGUACUUUCAGAAGUCUACCAUCCUAUAACCAUCCUAUCAGGAUACCCAUUUGUCUCAUUCAUAUGUUUCAUCACAUCAGGAGCUUUAGCAGUAAGAACACAGAAGAAUCCCUCCCUUUCGCUGCUAGUGUACACCAUAAAGAUGAAUGUCAACAGUUUUAUCUUAGCAAUACUUGGUAUAUUCCUAACCUUAUUGGAAAUUAUAUUCUUUUUAGUGAGCAAUGAGAAUAUUGAAUGGCCGCAUAAAAGCGGAAUGAUGCUUUCAGCCUAUCUGUGGAUAUUCUCCAGCACAGAGAUGGUACUGGCCUGGAAAGUAACCCAAUGGGGGAAGCAAGCAUUUUACCAGAGCAAUCACGACAUAUAGCGUUCCCGGCACCAGAAGACCCUUCUUUCUUUAACAUGUUAAGGAAUAGAACCAUCCUGACCUCACUCCAGGAUAAGGCAGUUUAAAUUGGAUGAAAAAGAGAUCGUCAUUUUGUUCAAGAUGUUUUCCAGAAAGUAUCCAUUAGUGAAGUUUGUCCCGA